rnacentral:rRNA from 1 species
GACGAACGCUGGCGGCGUGCUUAACACAUGCAAGUCGAACGAUGAACUUGGAGCUUGCUCUGGGGGAUUAGUGGCGAACGGGUGAGUAACACGUGAGUAACCUGCCCUGGACUCUGGGAUAACUUCGAGAAAUCGGAGCUAAUACCGGAUAGGACCUUGCACCGCAUGGUGUGGGGUGGAAAGUUUUUCGGUUUGGGAUGGACUCGCGGCCUAUCAGCUUGUUGGUGAGGUAAUGGCUCACCAGGGCGUCGACGGGUAGCCGGCCUGAGAGGGUGACCGGCCACACUGGGACUGAGACACGGCCCAGACUCCUACGGGAGGCAGCAGUGGGGAAUAUUGCACAAUGGGCGCAAGCCUGAUGCAGCAACGCCGCGUGCGGGAUGACGGCCUUCGGGUUGAAAACCGCUUUUAGUAGGGAAGAAGCCUUCGGGUGACGGUACCUGCAGAAAAAGGACCGGCUAACUACGUGCCAGCCGCCGCGGUAAAAC